AGAAUCAACGCUGGCGGCGUGCCUAACACAUGCAAGUCGAACGAGAAAGUGGAGCAAUCCAUGAGUAAAGUGGCGCACGGGUGAGUAACACGUGACUAACCUACCUUUUAGUGGGGGAUAACCUAGGGAAACCUGGGCUAAUACCGCAUAACACUUACGAGUCAAAGCAGCAAUGCGCUGAAAGAGGGGGUCGCGGCCGAUUAGCUAGUUGGCGGGGUAAUGGCCCACCAAGGCAGUGAUCGGUAUCCGGCCUGAGAGGGCGCACGGACACACUGGAACUGAAACACGGUCCAGACUCCUACGGGAGGCAGCAGUGGGGAAUUUUGCGCAAUGGGGGAAACCCUGACGCAGCAACGCCGCGUGGAGGAUGAAGUCCCUUGGGACGUAAACUCCUUUCGAUCGGGACGAUAAUGACGGUACCGGAAGAAGAAGCCCCGGCUAACUUCGCGCCAGCAGCCGC
rnacentral:rRNA from 1 species